AGAGUUUGAUCCUGGCUCAGAAUCAACGCUGGCGGCGCGCUUAACACAUGCAAGUCGAACGAGAAAGCAGGAGCAAUCUUGUGAGUAAAGUGGCGUACGGGUGAGUAACACGUGGAUUAUCUACCUCUUUGUGGGGGAUAACCCUGGGAAACCGGGGCUAAUACCGCAUAAGUCCGAGAGGAGAAAGCAGCAAUGCGCAGAGAGAGGAGUCCGCGGCCGAUUAGUUAGUUGGCAGGGUAAAAGCCUACCAAGACAAAGAUCGGUAGCCGGCCUGAGAGGGCACACGGCCACACUGGCACUGAAACACGGGCCAGACUCCUACGGGAGGCAGCAGUGGGGAAUCUUGCACAAUGGGGGCAACCCUGAUGCAGCGACGCCGCGUGAGCGAUGAAGCCCUUCGGGGUGUAAAGCUCUUUCGGCAGGGAAGAUUAUGACGGUACCUGCAGAAGCG
rnacentral:rRNA from 1 species